rnacentral:rRNA from 1 species
GACGAACGCUGGCGGCGUGCCUAAUACAUGCGAGUCGAACGCUGAAGGAGGAGCUUGCUUCUCUGGAUGAGUUGCGAACGGGUGAGUAACGCGUAGGUAACCUGCCUGGUAGCGGGGGAUAACUAUUGGAAACGAUAGCUAAUACCGCAUAAGAGUAGAUGUUGCAUGACAUUUGCUUAAAAGGUGCAAUUGCAUCACUACCAGAUGGACCUGCGUUGUAUUAGCUAGUUGGUGGGGUAACGGCUUACCAAGGCGACGAUACAUAGCCGACCUGAGAGGGUGAUCGGCCACACUGGGACUGAGACACGGCCCAGACUCCUACGGGAGGCAGCAGUAGGGAAUCUUCGGCAAGGGACGGAAGUCUGACCGAGCAACGCCGCGUGAGUGAAGAAGGUUGUCGGAUCGUAAAGCUCUGUUGUAAGAGAAGAACGAGUGUGAGAGUGGAAAGUUCACACUGUGACGGUAUCUUACCAGAAAGGGACGGCUAACUACGUG